UACGUAGGCAGCGAGCGUUGUUCGGAAUCACUGGGCGUAAAGCGCACGUAGGCGGAUCUUUAAGUCAGGGGUGAAAUCCCGAGGCUCAACCUCGGAACUGCCUUUGAUACUGGGGAUCUCGAGUCCGGGAGAGGUGAGUGGAACUGCGAGUGUAGAGGUGAAAUUCGUAGAUAUUCGCAAGAACACCAGUGGCGAAGGCGGCUCACUGGCCCGGAACUGACGCUGAGGUGCGAAAGCGUGGGGAGCAAACAGG
rnacentral:rRNA from 1 species